CAUGCAGUCGAGCGGGGGAAGGUAGCUUGCUACCUAACCUAGCGGCGGACGGGUGAGUAAUGCUUAGGAAUCUGCCUAUUAGUGGGGGACAACAUUUCGAAAGGGAUGCUAAUACCGCAUACGCCCUAAGGGGGAAAGCAGGGGAUCUUCGGACCUUGCGCUAAUAGAUGAGCCUAAGUCGGAUUAGCUAGUUGGUGGGGUAAAGGCCUACCAAGGCGACGAUCUGUAGCGGGUCUGAGAGGAUGAUCCGCCACACUGGGACUGAGACACGGCCCAGACUCCUACGGGAGGCAGCAGUGGGGAAUAUUGGACAAUGGGGGGAACCCUGAUCCAGCCAUGCCGCGUGUGUGAAGAAGGCCUUUUGGUUGUAAAGCACUUUAAGCGAGGAGGAGGCUACUGAGAUUAAUACUCUUGGAUAGUGGACGUUACUCGCAGAAUAAGCACCGGCUAACUCUGUGCCAGCAGCCGCGGUAAUACAGAGGGUGCGAGCGUUAAUCGGAUUUACUGGGCGUAAAGCGUGCGUAGGCGGCUUUUUAAGUCGGAUGUGAAAUCCCCGAGCUUAACUUGGGAAUUGCAUUCGAUACUGGGAAGCUAGAGUAUGGGAGAGGAUGGUAGAAUUCCAGGUGUAGCGGUGAAAUGCGUAGAGAUCUGGAGGAAUACCGAUGGCGAAGGCAGCCAUCUGGCCUAAUACUGACGCUGAGGUA
rnacentral:rRNA from 1 species